ACACAUGAAAUGUCAACAGACCAGAUUCGACGUGUCCUGCUGUGCAUUCUAGUUACAUUCUGCUCAUUUCAUACAAUUCAAGCAGUGUCAACUUUGAUUGCUUGGUUGCGUAACACUUGGAAAGGACAAGCGAGGACAGAGAUGCAAUUGUUUCCAGUGUGGGUCUACAAAGAGGCCGAGGGUCUACACAUGCGGCAACCAAAUUCUGCAUCUGAACGGAAUAGCUGUCGUUGUAAAAUUUCUCAUUUUCUUGCACCAAGCCGGUUGAUAAGGACUGGGACGACAUCGCGUGGAUGAUAGCACCCAAUCCCCACACCAAAUUUUCUGGCCCGACGUAUCCCCAUUGCAGAACUUCAGGGGGUACAUAGGUACAGGAAGACGUUUGAAAUUGCAAAUGCGACCCACUUUUCAUCGGCAAGUAAAGCAGCAUGUUUUCCAUCAAAAUCCUGCCACGUUCGUUGAUAACAAUGUGGCGAGGUUGACACAGUUCCCACGGGUAUACUCCGUGACUCCCCAAGUACAUCAGUAGAUCUGAUAACUGGAAAAUGGUCUCCCAAAUCAGAACUUCUGGAAUUCGUCGUCCUUGAAAAUUUACUUUGAAAAUUAGUUCUUCGAAAUUAACAACUGGCAAAUCAAAGACGUGAAAGACUCGGUCACUCUCAUUGUCAUGCAACUGUAAAUGACAUGUCAUUAGAUUUUGAUGCCUGAAAUCGCUCCACAUUUCCCGCGUUUUCGUGCUGAUCAUCUGUUGCGAUCCCGAACAAUUGCAUGUUGUACACACUUCGUUUCUUCUUUCCGAUUUCAGUAAAAUAUUCGUCCCUGAGAAAGUACAUUUUCCUGGAUAAAUCUGGUGGACUUUGUGAUGCACGUGGUUUGGAAAAUUAAAAUUGUAUUCCACAUGCAUGUCAUCCAAGGCAAAGUCCGUGGGAAUGUUGAAGGUGCAUAGGAAUUCUUUUAUCACAGUUGGUAAUGGAAGGACCCAGACAUUCUGAAUAUUGUCAACUCCAAUCCUUUGUAAAAUUUUAUGUCGGCAAGCAUCUUGAAGCGAUCGCACACCACUUUUAUUUCUUACCCCUAGUGUUAAAGUCCUUCUUCCUUCUUUCAUUGUUGUUAGUCAAGUGAUACCGCUUGGUUGCGCCUCUUGCUAAAAUUAGCGACAUUUAGCGCCUCUUUGAAGAUAACCAAUCGUCUGAGAGCAUAGGGUGUUUCCUAAGAUGACGAUUUAACCGGGGUUUUCCCAAUUUUCCCAUGGUUCAGCAUAAUACGAUAUAUAUUAUGAAUGUAAACUAUGGCUGCUAAACAUGAACAGGAAGGGAAACGGUCGGUUUUUUGGCCGAAGAAGGGGUGAUAAGAGCAAAGGACCGCAGCGACAAAGAAUACCAUUCUACAGACGAAAUUUUGACUUCGCAGCCAGGCCGAUUUUGUUUAUUUUCGGUUUGAUUCGUCAGAUUGCAUUCCAACUUUGGCUCGUGCUCACUUUGGUGGUCUGCAAGUCCCGAAAUUUAUCACGAGAAGGUACUUACCGUCGAAUUAGGGCUGAUGUCACAGCGGACGCUGAGAGCGCUAUGACGUCACCGGCAAGAGCAAAAUCGCCGUCCCCUGCGGAACCUAUACUGACUCAACAGAAGCACUACCACAGAAAAGCAUUUGAAUAUAUUUCAAAGGCGCUCAAAAUAGACGAAGAAGAUGCAGGUUUAAUGAAUUCAAUUUCUUUUAUUUAAAAUCACACUCUUUACUGCAGUUUUCAUAAUGUUGCAUAACUUGCAUUGCCUCACAAUUUUGAAAAUAAAUUGAUAAAUAUUU
rnacentral:misc_RNA from 1 species